GCCGGCCCUGCGCCGCUCAUGUGGGGAGGGGAGGGGAGCACGCCUUGCGGGAUGCCUCCGCCCGCGGCUGCUGCUAGCUCAGGGAAAGAGGUAGAAAGGAGUGGAUUGAGGGUAGAAGAUGACUUGACAAGUGGAGCCCGCGUGGAAGUGAAAGGAGUUUAGAUGGGCCUAGUUGGGCUGCUGCUUGCACAUUGGGCCGGUGGGGUGGAGAGAACUGGGCUUAUCUAAUUUGUGGAGUGGAGCAGACUUUUUUGGAGUGGAGUGCUCCCAAACAAACCCAUAGUGUGUCCCGCCACGAAAACCUGCAUGCCUUCAAUUUUUUAAAUCCAAAUCCUUUUUCCAUUAGGCGCUUAUUUUUCCGUCGCCAAAAACUUUUUCCAAACCUCGCGCUCAUCCCUCUCAUGAGACCUCAAUUUUCAAUCCGCACCAAAGCAAAUGGAAUUUAUGUGUAUAAAAAGGCCUGCCCAACUAUCCUGUUCCCAUCGCCACUCCCUUCCUUCAGCUCCACUUAGCCAUGGCAGAUCCACACCCAGUUCAUGGAAUUGAUCUCAAUGUUCCAGCGUCUGAAAAUGAUCCUGAAGAGGAUGCUCAGGAGCUGCGGCAACCUGUUGUCCAGGUUUAUAUAAGUAACCCGAUUGACUAGGAUCAGGUGCAAGAGGAAUUUUUUUGAUUUGAGCAACCCCAUAUUUUUUUUUCAUCAGCCUAAAGAAGGUUACUACAUUACUUGAAGUUAUGUCUUUCUUUUCGCUCUUCUUUUGGUCGCUAAACUGUAUGUCAAAUUCGUAGGAGAUGAUCAAGAUCAGGGCGUUGGAGAAGAUGAACAAGUUCCUCACGCUGGUGGAGAUGGACACCACAAUGGCCAUGGAUCAGUACUGCCUUAUCUGAAUGCAAUGUCUGAGAUUUAGAGGAUGGUACUGAUGACAUAUUCGAGGACUUUGGUACUAAUAUUGAUCAAGGUAGCAGCUCUGGUACAAAUAUUAGAAAAAGGAAGCAAUACAGUGAUGACACAAAGUGAGCAGUAUAUGCAAUGCUAUUAGAGGGAUCAGUGCGAGGCCAUUUGCCAGAAGGGGUGUCAUUGCAUGUGUCUUUGGCUGUGGAUGUUUCUCUCAGAUGUGUGCAGCCCAUAUGGAAGGAAGGCCAAAAAGGGGAGGAAUGCAUGCUGUCAUAAACAAGAGAGUGGGGCAUUGUGGACUAAAAAAAUUGAACUUCCAAUGGAAUCCAUCACUGCCAUACCAUUCCAAGACCGAACAACUUUAGAAGAUCUAGCAAGAAGGCUGGGAGUGUCCAAGAGCCAUGUCCAUAGGCUGUUGAAAGAAGGAAAAAUUGAACGGCACUCGAGUGCCAUCAAGCCAUUUCUUACAUUAUGAAAAUAAGAAGGCACGGGUGCAUCAUGCUCUCAACAUGUUAGAACCAAGUACAAUUCCUCACAACCGAUCUUUAAACAUAUGUACAAUGUGAUCCAUGCGAAUGAAAAAUGGUAUUAUAGGACUAGAUCGAAUCAAAAGUAUUAUUUUGCGCCGGGUGAAGAAUGACCUCGUCGAACUUGCAAGAGCAAAAGUUACAUUGAAAAAGUUAUGUUUUUUGGUGGACAAUCUCGACCUUGGUUCAAUGAUCAGAAUGUCUGUUUUUUUUUUAUGGGAAGAUUGGUAUAUAUGCAUUUGUUACCACUGAACCUGCUAAAAGGAAGAGUCCUAAUAGGCCACGUGGUACUCCAAUCACAAAGCCAAUCACAUCAGUAACAAGGGAUGUAAUCAGACGAUAUCUCAUUAACAAGAUGUUGCCCGAUAUCAAGGCAAAAUAGCCAGCUGAGGGAUGCCAUGAGACAAUAUGGAUACAACAGGACAAUUGUCGAAGUCAAAUCCCAGUUGAUGAUCCUGAAUUUUGUGUAGCGGCUCAAGCUGAUGGAUGGGAUAUCCGUUUGACUUGUCAACCAACGAAUUUCCCAGACACAAACGUGCUGGACCUUGGAUUGUUUGCAGCCAUACAUGCAUUGUUCCAUAAGAGUGGCAUGCCAAAAGCCAUUGAUGAAAUUGUGCAAAAGGUUCAAGCAGCUUAUUGGAAUUUUCCAGUUGGUAGGUCAAAUAGAGUAUUCCUUACUCUUCAAAGUUGCUUACGGGAGAUACUCAAAGAAAAAGGAGGGCAACAUUACCCUGUGCCUCACAUGAAGAAGGCGAUGUUGGAGAGAUUAGGAACGCUGCCAAAAACUUUGUCAUGUGAUCCAACGAUUGUUCAAACAUAGACAAGUGGUCUUAUUUUGAAAAUUUUGUCACAUGAAAAAGAUAAUGAUGCAAUCGAAUUUAAUUUGGAUGCACAGUUUAAGAUUUAUAAUUUUUUUAGUAUAAACUCCUCUUGUAUGUGGGUGAUAUCAUUAAUUUUAUCUUCAUCUA